GCCAAAAGUCCCGCCCCGACUCGAUGCGCACGCACGGAAAUACCCCUCUCCUGAGCUUUCAUUGGUUCAGACGCCAACGGCGACUGGCGCUUAGUACCCUGGGUAAUGUAGUUCUCACAUCUUCAAAGGCCCAAGGACUGUAUGCUCACCACUGGGGUGUCCAGGGGCAAUGGCACCAGGAGAGAUUCUGGGAAGUGGUGUCUCCAGCCUCCUAGGGCGAGGGAAGACCUUUGCUCUUUGUUUAAGAGGCUGUAUGCAGAUUCCUGGGGAGUGUUGUCGGCAACUGAUCACCUAAGUGUUUACGGAUAUUAUUUCAGACUUCUUGAAACCUAGCAUGCUCCCAGAGUCUAAAAGUAUUGUCUCAGGUGCUCCCAAUGAGUACAAAUCCAAAGGGAUGUAUCAUUCCACAAAGUCCUUCAGACACACAAUGUGUCUACUCUUAGCUGGAACCUGGUACUGUUAACUAACCCUUGUGCCACCGAACUCCAGGGAGUGGACUCUUGGAUUCAUUUGUUCACCUAAAGAAGGCAACAACCCCAACUGGACCUGCACACUGUCCAGUGAGCUGAAAUUGAAGAUUUCCGGGAAUUGAAGCGAUGGCAUCUGAAGGAGACAGCUCUCCUGAGAUGACUGGGCCAGGCCUGUACACCCUUUUCUCACUGUUGCUUCUUCAUUUUCUCCCUCUCUUUCUUGGAAGGACAAUGCCUUUGCUUCCCUUUCCCAAUCUAUUGCAAAAGGGGGAAACCUCUCUGAUUGUUGGAUUUGUCAUCAGAAUCCUCAAUUUGUCCAAGACAGCAAUGACCCCUUAGUUCACCCUAUAAGUAACUUCACUAGAUUCUAUAUGCCACCGCAUGGCUAAAUUGUUCUGCAAUUCCCUUUUAUAAAGUUAGAAUACUAAACGCAUGUAACCUCAUUCCUUGCUUCAAUUUAGCCCUAAGAUGGGAAAAUGAGAUCUCUCGACUGCAUGCGAGACACUGCAGGGCAGCCAAUAUAAAUUGGGCCAUUUGUAAGCUUGCUGACAUACCCAUAUAUUUAGGUUGUCUUUCAAUAUGUAAUAAUACAUUAU
rnacentral:lncRNA from 1 species